rnacentral:rRNA from 1 species
CCUACGGGUGGCAGCAGUAGGGAAUAUUGCACAAUGGGGGAAACCCUGAUGCAGCGACGCCGCGUGAGUGAUGAAGGAUUUAGGUAUGUAAAGCCCUAUUGUCAGGGAAGAAAAUGACGGUAUCUCACGAAUAAGCACCGGCUAACUACGUGCCAGCAGCCGCGGUAAUACGGAGGGUGCAAGCGUUACUCGGAAUCACUGGGCGUAAAGAGUGCGGAGGCGGGAGUGGAAGUCCGUUGUGAAAUGCUGGAGCUUAACCACGGAACUGCAUUUGAAACUAUGAGUCUAGAGUGCAGGAGAGGUAGGUGGAAUUCUUGGUGUAGCGGUAAAAUGCGUAGAUAUUAAGAGGAACACUCAUGGCGAAGGCGACCUACUGGAAUAUUACUGACGUUCAGGCUCGAAAGCGUGGGGAGCAAACAGGAUUAGAUACCCGUGUAGUC